rnacentral:rRNA from 1 species
GACUCUCGGCAACGGAUAUCUCGGCUCUCGCAUCGAUGAAGAACGUAGCGAAAUGCGAUACUUGGUGUGAAUUGCAGAAUCCCGUGAACCAUCGAGUCUUUGAACGCAAGUUGCGCCGAAGCGUUAGGCCGAGGCACGUCUGCCUGGGCGUCA